rnacentral:piRNA from 1 species
UGAAAAGAGAGUGGGUACCUUGAAGAAGU